UUAUUAAAGUGUAAAGAUAUCAGGCAAAAACGUGCACGGCCCCUUUCUGUCAGAUUCUUAUGAAAUCGUCGGAGAAGAGCCCGCUCUAAACAGUACAUUCAAAUUAUAUAGGCAACUAGCAAAGUAGGUGGUCUUGUCGUCUGGCCUUCCUCUUGGUCAAUCUUGGUCGUGAGUGGUCCUGUUCGGACCAGGUGUCGACGUUCCAUUGGCUCUUGACAUAGUUCUUUGUCUUGAGUCACACCCUUGGAAAGAAUGUGUAUGUCUAAAUGAUGUUUCAGGGGCCUGUCCUGAGUGGGGUGUGUGUGUGUCUGAGGUUAGUAUCUA